rnacentral:rRNA from 1 species
GAUGAACGCUGGCGGCGUGCCUAAUACAUGCAAGUCGAGCGAACAGAUAAGGAGCUUGCUCCUUUGAAGUUAGCGGCGGACGGGUGAGUAACACGUGGGUAACCUACCUAUAAGACUGGGAUAACUUCGGGAAACCGGAGCUAAUACCGGAUAACAUUUAGAACCGCAUGGUUCUAAAGUGAAAGAUGGUUUUGCUAUCACUUAUAGAUGGACCCGCGCCGUAUUAGCUAGUUGGUAAGGUAACGGCUUACCAAGGCGACGAUACGUAGCCGACCUGAGAGGGUGAUCGGCCACACUGGAACUGAGACACGGUCCAGACUCCUACGGGAGGCAGCAGUAGGGAAUCUUCCGCAAUGGGCGAAAGCCUGACGGAGCAACGCCGCGUGAGUGAUGAAGGGUUUCGGCUCGUAAAACUCUGUUAUUAGGGAAGAACAAAUGUGUAAGUAACUGUGCACAUCUUGACGGUACCUAAUCAGAAAGCCACGGCUAACUACGUGCCAGCAGCCGCGGUAAUACGUAGGUGGCAAGCGUUAUCCGGAAUUAUUGGGCGUAAAGCGCGCGUAGCGGUUUCUUAAGUCUGAUGUGAAAGCCCACGGCUCAACCGUGGAGGGUCAUUGGAAACUGGGAAACUUGAGUGCAGAAGAGGAAAGUGGAAUUCCAUGUGUAGCGGUGAAAUGCGCAGAGAUAUGGAGGAACACCAGUGGCGAAGGCGACUUUCUGGUCUGUAACUGACGCUGAUGUGCGAAAGCGUGGGGAUCAAACAGGAUUAGAUACCCUGGUAGUCCACGCCGUAAACGAUGAGUGCUAAGUGUUAGGGGGUUUCCGCCCCUUAGUGCUGCAGCUAACGCAUUAGGCACUCCGCCUGGGGAGUACGACCGCAAGGUUGAAACUCAAAGGAAUUGACGGGGACCCGCACAAGCGGUGGAGCAUGUGGUUUAAUUCGAAGCAACGCGAAGAACCUUACCAAAUCUUGACAUCCUUUGAAAACUCUAGAGAUAGAGCCUUCCCCUUCGGGGGACAAAGUGACAGGUGGUGCAUGGUUGUCGUCAGCUCGUGUCGUGAGAUGUUGGGUUAAGUCCCGCAACGAGCGCAACCCUUAAGCUUAGUUGCCAUCAUUAAGUUGGGCACUCUAGGUUGACUGCCGGUGACAAACCGGAGGAAGGUGGGGAUGACGUCAAAUCAUCAUGCCCCUUAUGAUUUGGGCUACACACGUGCUACAAUGGACAAUACAAAGGGCAGCUAAACCGCGAGGUCAUGCAAAUCCCAUAAAGUUGUUCUCAGUUCGGAUUGUAGUCUGCAACUCGACUACAUGAAGCUGGAAUCGCUAGUAAUCGUAGAUCAGCAUGCCUACGGUGAAUACGUUCCCGGGUCU